CAUACCAAAUUCAAACUCCACAAAUUGAAACACAUAACACUCAAGAUAGAAGUUAAGGGUUGUAAUGGGCUUGGGGUGUUGGUUAACAAGGAAAGGAUAGGGAAAACAAACGUUCUUCAAGCGAUAGUAAGCAAAGCAAUGAAAUUGAGACUUAGAAUUCACUUAGAGUGCAGAAAUUAACUUUAAAACACAAGGGGAAGACUUAAACAACUCCUUAGGGCCGAAUUCAUUGUUUUGGACCCUUACUUCAACAACCAAUACUUUGGAACUCUUUUUUCAAACUUUUCACACUUUUUUUUUUUUUUUUUUUUUUUUUUUUUUUCUUUUUUUUUUU
rnacentral:lncRNA from 1 species